ensembl:lncRNA
GAUCUUCCCAACCCAGGGAUCGAACCCAGAUCUCCCGCAUUGCAGGUGGAUUCUUUACCACCUGAUACACAAGGGAAGCCUGGACUAUCUUGAAGGCUGUAGUAAAAGAAAAAAAUCAGUUUCUUCAGACAAUAGACAUAUUUGGUGGAGUUCUUGAAAGGGAUGUGGUAAUUUUAUAACUGAGAAAACAAAUGUAAACAUUUAAGGAAUGAUAAACUCUCCCAGUGGCAUUCUCUUCCCCUUCUCAACAUGGCGCACAAUUGCCUGCAGGCUUUUUAAGUCAAAGAAGCCACCUGCAUCUCUUAUUCAGUGCAUCUUUACGAUUUUCAGUGCAUACGCGCGUGUGUGUUCAGUCGUGUCUGACUCUUUGUGACCCCAUGGAAUGCAGCCUGCCAGGCUCCUCUGUCCACGGGAUUUCCCAGGUCAUCACUGUUGGUUUUCUAUCAAAACUGCUUAAGGAGUAGCUGUCUCUAUGGAUAGGAGAGAAGACUGUGCAAGAAGUAAAGGGGAGCAAGAAGCUGUCACUAUGCACUUCUGCACAUGCCAGGAGGGCCUUCAGAAGAGCUCUGGAACAGAAAGAAAGAGGGAGAAGUAGAAAUUCGAACAGCUCCUGCUGCAGAACUUACGAUCUUUUUGGCCCGGAGGCCUUCUACUGAAGAGAUCCCAGAUAAGGGUGACCCAUCAGAGAGGAUCAUCCAUCUAGUUUACAGAAGCAAUUUCAGAGUGGGCCCUGGGUCCUUGGACCCCGAUGGAGGAAAUCCAGAUCAGGAUGAUUCUUAGGAAUGGCUGCUCCUAGGAGCAGCAGAGAAACAGGAAUUCUGGGAAGAAAGCCCUUCAAGCCUGGCCUGCAGCGGCUUCUCCUCCUGGGUGAGUCCUCUGAGAGCCCAAGGAAGGGCUAUCCUCACCCUCCUCACUCCGGCUGUCUUGAAAAAACUGCCCCACAGGUAGGCCUCAUGCCUUAGCUCUGCCCUUUCUAUAAGGUGCCAAUCCCUUUGACAGGCCACAGAGCCAUGGUUCCAGCCAUGCAUCGUAUGACGAAAGAGGUGGUACAAAGUACAGCAAAUAAACUUACAAUGUUUACCGUCCAACUGCAAAGCCCGACUGCCAAAUAAAGCCAUCUCAGUUCCACUGCAAUUUUUGCAGGUAAAAUUUUCAGUCAGCCACCAGAGGGUGCCCACAGAGCUCUCUGAAAAUGACCCAAACCUGCAGAAUUAGAAAAUUUCCAGUGUAUCUAAGAGUAACACCAAAUAUAGCUCCCUCAUAUAUGACUGGGAGUCAUGCACAGGUCAGCUAAGGAGCUGCAAGUUUGCAGGGGAUGAAGAGUCAGGGUGGGAGUGAUGGAAAUAAUCUGAAUUUUAGCUAAACAAGUUGCAUCUUGAUUUUAAAUUGGCAAUUGCAAUAACACUUUGAGGAUUGGCUCAGGGCUAAUUUUCAUUCCCAGCCAAAUUCCCUUCCCCACCCUUUCUUUCCCCAUCCAUGUGUACAAAGGAAAUGCAAAUACAUAUAAAUAUUAGGCUAAGCCACAGGCUUCUUGGAAGGUAAGGCUGCUGCUGCUUUAAAAAAAAUCCUAUAAUGCGAGUGAAAAGAUAGAUUUUCUGAGCCACUGCUCCUGCACGAGGUGAGUGUCAGGAAGAAGAAAUGGAGAAGCCGUAGUUCUCUGAAGAGCUGGCCUGGCGUGGUGCGUGCCUGGGAUGAGAGGAGCAGAGGAAUGGCUGCCUCCCUGUCCCCAGCAGGGCUGGCAAGCAGGCUGGGUCUGGCCUCCCUGUCUUUCCAGGGCCUGGCACACUGGCUGACACACAGUAGGUGCCUGUUAAUGUUUGUUGAAUGAGUGAAUGAAUGAAUAGGAAGUGAGCUGGGUGGGUAGGACACCGCCUGGGAGCUCUCAGCAGGGUGAGGAGAGAAUUGGGAAACGGAUGGCUGGGGUGGAAGGGUAGUUUUCCAGGGAGGAGAGGUCCCAUGUUCUAUGUUAGCUUCCUCUGGUUCAGGCCCUUUCUGUGGAUGUUCAAGACUCCAGAUCCGAUGCUUUGUUUUAAUGUUGGUCAAACUGCCCAGUGGUCCCAUUCAUUCAUAAGAAACACUCAUUCACAGUUACUGGUUACCUGAUGGGGGACCCUGGCAGUUACCCCGUGCCGGGGACACCAGCCUCCCUCAGCUUUAGCUCUCUGGAAAUCUGGCCAGCUGGGAACUGGGUUUUGGUUGCAGGACAAUUGGGCCAUUUAUCUCUCUGGACAAGGUGUGUGUGUGUGUUGUCAUAAAAUGCCUUGUGUGUGGGAUGUGUGUGUGUGUUGCCAUAAUGCCUUGUGUGUGGUGUGUGUGUGUUGCCAUAAUGCCUUGUGUGUGGGAUGUGUGUGUGUGUUGCCAUAAUGCCUUGUGUGUGGUGUGUGUGUGUUGCCAUAAUGCCUUGUGUGUGGGGUCUGCCAUCUACACAGCUUUUUGACACCACCUAUGGCUACCUCUUGCUGGUACAUAGAAGAGAUGAUAUGUAUUGAUGAGAUGUAUUGAUAUUUAAAGUUAGAAAUUUAGGGACAAGUUAUUUUACUUAGGUUUCGGUACUUGUAAUUCAUCACAGAAGGAAUCAUGGUGUGAAGGUCUUGCAGGGUUUUAAAAGAUUCCUACAUAUAUUCCCUUUCCAAUAUUUCUCCUUUCGGGCAGCUUUAAUGACAAUUUGUGGGGCCUUCAGAUGAGCCAGGAGGGAUGCUGGCUGCUGGGCUUGGAGAAAGGGAAUGGUUUUGGGAAUUAACCUUUCUCCCUCCUCCCCUGCCUAGGCUGAGUCAGUCCACCUGAUUAGCACAACAAUGAUCAGAUUUUCCCCACCAGCCUGAGAAGAAUGGGUUCCUGACCAGGAUCCUUUUAAUUUGCAAAUCUCAUGCAAAUGAGGCCCUGAAGAUUCCUGGGCCCUCCCAGUGUUGGCCUAGCUGGGUGCUCCACACUGCAUGAACUCUGCAGUAACUGAGUUUAUGUCUUCUGGAUCUUUUGUUACUUCUUAUCUUCACCAGGCCCUGACACAGCACUAUAUACUUAGAGAAGUUUAGACCCAAGGGAGAGGCUAUUAGGAAAGGGUCUCAACAAACUAUGCUAUGCUAUGCUAUGCUAAAUCACUUCAGUCGUGUCCAACUCUGUGUGACCCCAUAGACGGCAACCCACCAGGCUUCGCCGUCCCGGGGAUUCUCCAGGCAAGAACACUGGAGUGGGUUGUCAUUUCCUUCUCCAGUGCAUGAAAGUGAGAAGUGAAAGUGAAGUCGCUCAGUCGUGUCCGACUCUUCGUGACCCCAUGGACUGCAGCCUACCAGGCUCCUCCAUCCAUGGGAUUUUCCAGGCAAGGGUACUGGAGUGGGGUGCCAUUGCCUUCUCCACUCAACAAACUAGUGGUAGCCAAAGCAAAGGAAAAAUUUCUAGAAAGCUAAACAGGCUCCUGAAAGAAUGUUCCAUCAGAUUGUUUUGUUAAAAUAAGAUCUCUCUCUCUGUGUCUCUAUACAUAUAUAUAUAUAUAUAUAUAUACGUAGAACUGAAUUACUUUGCUGUAUGCAAAAGAAUUCAACAUUGUAAAUCAACUAUACUUAAAAAAAAAGUUGGAAAGAGAUCUUCUCUGGAGGGGAAAAUCCAUUUUGUGAAAGGGAAGACAAGAAAAGGAAAGAGAGGCAAAGAAUAACUCAAACAACCUCUUUGCCUGAGCUCUCUGUUAAGAAGGAUCAUAGCAUGGGCCAAAAGACUAGGGUGUUUGGACACCAAUAGAGAGAGAAAGAGGUCAGACAACUGUUUACCUUAUAUCCACUCAUCAGGGACCUGAUGAGGUUGUGUGGCUUUGUGAGUGUCAUUUUAUGAAAUAAACAGAGAUAAUCUCUCUACUAUUUCCAAGAAUGACCUAAGGGAAUGAAGUUAGCUUUAAAAUGACCACUCUGUCAGGAAAGUGACAUAAACAGUGAACAGAGAAAGUGGCGUAAACAUUUACCUUUUUUGGUCUACUGAAUAGAUAUAAUUCUACAAAGCUCAACUAAUUCCUUUGUAUUUAAUAAACUCAUCUUGAAUAUCUACCAUGUCUCAGGCACUGAGACCUACAUUCUUGUCCUCGAGGGGUUUUCAGUCAGUGAAGGAGGCAGAAAAACGACCAGAUUGUACCAGAGAGGCCAAGCUUCACCUGCACUCCUGUGAACUCUACAGGGGAAGUUCUUGCCCAGAGCCUGGGAGGCACAGCCCUCAUGCCACAGGGCUCCACCCCUCAUGUGCUGCAUAUAGGCCAGAGAUGGGCACCUGAUGGUUUGUCAGGGUCAACUAACAACUAAGCCAAGCCAACCCAGUUUCUUACUUGACAGUUUGUAAUUAGGAUGCUGGAGAGACAAAGUCGGAUGUGGGGAACAAAGCUGAAAUUUACAGAGACUUGGGGCUGAAGACACCUUAAUGAACCACACAUAUCCAGAGAGUGAUGAAGCA